UCCCCUCUUGGUUUCCAUGAUGGUGGUUUGC
rnacentral:piRNA from 1 species